rnacentral:ncRNA from 1 species
CACCGCCCAUCUCUACUACUGAUUGGAUGGUUUAGUGAGAUCCUCGGAUUGGCCCUGCCGGGGUUGGUCACGGCCCUGGUGGAGCACUGAGAAGACGGUUGAACUUGACUAUCUAGAGGAAGUAAAAGUUGUAACAAGGUUUCCGUAGGUGAACCUGCAGAAG